UGCGUAGGCGGUUAGAUAAGUCAGAGGUGAGAGCCCGCAGCUCAACUGUGGAAUUGCCUUUGAUACUGUUUGACUUGAAUCAAGUUGAGGUUGGCGGAAUGUGACAUGUAGCGGUGAAAUGCAUAGAUAUGUCAUAGAACACCAAUUGCGAAGGCAGCUAACUAGACUUGUAUUGACGCUGAGGCACGAAAGCGUGGGGAGCGAACAGGAUUAGAUACCCUGGUAGUCC
rnacentral:rRNA from 1 species